UUAGUGGAAUACAAAAGAAAAUUGGAAGAAUGAGGAUUACAAAAUGUAUUCUAAGUAAUAAUCCGUUCUAAAAGUGAUUCGAAAUAAUCGUAAAAAGUGUUUCGCCGCCGAAAAUCCGCUGGAAAGCCAAUCCGACUGCAGAGGAUGAUUGGACCUCAGUUGGCCGAGAUAAUCAGGCAAUUUACGGCACUGCUCACGAGGACGAAAGCUGGAGGAUUGGCGGGGAUUGGUGGUAAUCAGGAUGAGUAUGGCACAUCGGGGCAAAGGCCAAGGUCAACAAGGAAUUCCAGAGCCCAAUGAGAUGAUAUUUUAUUCAUACUCGCACGAGUGAGAUAGAAGGCACUACGCGGCCUAAGCGAAUUUCAAAUUCCGUUUCAUAUUAUGUUUGCCAAAGGAUUCGUUUUCUGGCAAGGACCUCAAACUGCUCAAGCUGCUCCUGGUUGGGAAAGUAGCAGAGGAUUUGCACUCGAAAAUUGCCGACAACUUUUAGCAAUAUAAAACAGAUUAAGGAAUUACUCACAGAAAAGAAGGCAAACUUUGUCAAGGAUAAUAAGAGGGAAAUACUGGCGCAAGCUGGAUGGCAGAUGGCGAAUGGCGGAUGGCGGAUGGAUACAACUUUUGCCGAAUCAAACGGCGUAAAAAUUGACUCGGCAGACGCACUUCACCACGCCCCUGGGAUGCAGCCACGCCCCUCGGAUGCUGCAACUGCAACUGCCUCUGCAUCUUGUUAGCCGCGCAAGUUUCGUGUUGUGUACUUUGCCCAGCAACUUUUCCCGGCCAGGAGCCAAAGGACAAAGGACACAAUUGCAUUGCGAGCGUCAUUAAAAUUUAUGCCUCGACAUUUUUUUUGUAUUCUCUCCCUUUUGUGCGAAUAGUGGGCAGAAAAGGAGGCGCUGCGUCCUGGGGAGCCUGUGUGCAAUUUUAAUGAGUUGGAAAUGAUUUGUGCGGGUAACUGGCCGCCAGUUGCCACUCCCCCGUUGCGCCCACGCCCCUCUGCUGCUGAUGCAGCAGUCGCCACGCAACAGGACACGAUAAAAAAGGGGGAACUGCCACGCCCACUGACCCAUCCCGUUCCGCCCACGCAGCGGGUUCAAUUUACUGUGCAAAAUAUGACCGUAUCAACGGUGACAUUAGAGAUCAUGUUGUCAUCCUCACUUUGCAUCUCCUGCAACGACUGACACUUGAACCCAUGCCUACACUGUGCGAAAUCGUUGGCAUUCAAUUGGAAUUUUUAAGUUGAGUGACUACGUAGUGCGCCACUACUCACUUGAUGUAC
rnacentral:sRNA from 1 species